UCCACUCCAAUCAGUGUAGAUGAAGGGGAGGAGACAGGUUAAAUCCACCAAUCAGUGUAGAUGAAGGGGAGGAGACAGGUUAAAUCCACCAAUCAGUGUAGAUGAAGGGGAGGAGACAGGUUAAAUCCACCAAUCAGUGUAGAUGAAGGGGAGGAGACAGGUUAAAUCCACCAAUCAGUGUAGAUGAAGGGGAGGAGACAGGUUAAAUCCACCAAUCAGUGUAGAUGAAGGGGAGGAGACAGGUUAAAUCCACCAAUCAGUGUAGAUGAAGGGGAGGAGACAGGUUAAAUCCACCAAUCAGUGUAGAUGAAGGGGAGGAGACAGGUUAAAUCCACCAAUCAGUGUAGAUGAAGGGGAGGAGACAGGUUAAAUCCACCAAUCAGUGUAGAUGAAGGGGAGGAGACAGGUUAAAUCCACCAAUCAGUGUAGAUGAAGGGGAGGAGACAGGUUAAAUCCACCAAUCAGUGUAGAUGAAGGGGAGGAGACAGGUUAAAUCCACCAAUCAGUGUAGAUGAAGGGGGAGGAGACAGGUUAAAUCCACCAAUCAGUGUAGAUGAAGGGGGAGGAGACAGGUUAAAUCCACCAAUCAGUGUAGAUGAAGGGGGAGGAGACAGGUUAAAUCCACCAAUCAGUGUAGAUGAAGGGGGAGGAGACAGGUUAAAUCCACCAAUCAGUGUAGAUGAAGGGGGAGGAGACAGGUUAAAUCCACCAAUCAGUGUAGAUGAAGGGGAGGAGACAGGUUAAAUCCACCAAUCAGUGUAGAUGAAGGGGAGGAGACGGGUUAAAUCCACCAAUCAGUGUAGA